GACAGAGGUGCCAAGCGUUAGGCGGAAUCACUGGGCUUAAAGCGUGUGUAGGCGGAAUUCUAAGUACCUUGUGAAAUCCCACAGCUCAACUGUGGAACUGCUCGGUAUACUGGUUUUCUUGGGCCACUUAGGGGCUGUCGGAACAAGCGGUGGAGCGGUGAAAUGCGUAGAUAUCGGGAGGAACACCUGUGGCGAAAGCGGCUCACUGGACCACAACUGACGCUGAUGCACGAAAGCUAGGGGAGCAAACAGG
rnacentral:rRNA from 1 species